rnacentral:rRNA from 1 species
ACUCCUACGGGAGGCAGCAGUGGGGAAUAUUGCACAAUGGGCGCAAGCCUGAUGCAGCCAUGCCGCGUGUGUGAAGAAGGCCUUCGGUUGUAAAGCACUUUCAGUUGUGAGGAAGGUGGUGUCGUUAAUAGCGGCAUCAUUUGACGUUAGCAACAGAAGAAGCACCGGCUAACUCCGUGCCAGCAGCCGCGGUAAUACGGAGGGGUGCGAGCGUUAAUCGGAAUUACUGGGCGUAAAGCGCAUGCAGGUGGUUUGUUAAGUCAGAUGUGAAAGCCCGGGGCUCAACCUCGGAACUGCAUUUGAAACUGGCAGACUAGAGUACUGUAGAGGGGGUAGAAUUUCAGGUGUAGCGGUGAAAUGCGUAGAGAUCUGAAGGAAUACCGGUGGCGAAGGCGGCCCCCUGGACAGAUACUGACACUCAGAUGCGAAAGCGUGGGGAGC